GAAGAAGCCUUCGGGUUGUAACCUUCUUCAGCAGGAAGAAGCGCAAGUGCCGUACCUGCAGAAGAAGCCCGGCUAACUACGUGCCAGCAGCCGCGGUAAUACGUAGGGCGCAAGCGUUGUCCGGAAUUAUUGGGCGUAAAGAGCUCGUAGGCGGUUUGUCGCGUCUGCUGUGAAAACUCGAGGCUCAACCUCGGGCUUGCAGUGGGUACGGGCAGACUAGAGUGCGGUAGGGGAGACUGGAAUUCCUGGUGUAGCGGUGGAAUGCGCAGAUAUCAGGAGGAACACCGAUGGCGAAGGCAGGUCUCUGGGCCGCAACUGACGCUGAGGAGCGAAAGCAUGGGGAGCGAACAGGAUUAGAUACCCUGGUAGUCCAUGCCGUAAACGUUGGGCACUAGGUGUGGGGCUCAUUCCACGAGUUCCGUGCCGCAGCAAACGCAUUAAGUGCCCCGCCUGGGGAGUACGGCCGCAAGGCUAAAACUCAAAGAAAUUGACGGGGGCCCGCACAAGCGGCGGAGCAUGCGGAUUAAUUCGAUGCAACGCGAAGAACCUUACCAAGGCUUGACAUACACCGGAAACUUCCAGAGAUGGUUGCCCCGCAAGGUCGGUGUACAGGUGGUGCAUGGUUGUCGUCAGCUCGUGUCGUGAGAUGUUGGGUUAAGUCCCGCAACGAGCGCAACCCUCGUCCUAUGUUGCCAGCGGGUCAUGCCGGGGACUCAUAGGAGACUGCCGGGGUCAACUCGGAGGAAGGUGGGGAUGACGUCAAAUCAUCAUGCCCCUUAUGUCUUGGGCUUCACGCAUGCUACAAUGGCCGGUACAAAGGGCUGCGAUACCGCGAGGUGGAGCGAAUCCCAAAAAGCCGGUCUCAGUUCGGAUUGGGGUCUGCAACUCGACCCCAUGAAGUCGGAGUCGCUAGUAAUCGCAGAUCAGCAACGCUGCGGUGAAUACGUUCCCGGGCCUUGUACACACCGCCCGUCAAGUCACGAAAGUCGGUAACACCCGAAGCCGGUGGCCCAACUGUUCGCAGGGGA
rnacentral:rRNA from 1 species